rnacentral:lncRNA from 1 species
UCUUAUCCGAGGACGAAUCACUUUUAAAGAGGGAGGGGAUAAUGUGAGCAAGAAGAGGAAAAAUAAUUUCUUUAAAGGGAGAAUCAAGCAAGAGGGAAUACUUCUUCAUAAAUCAUGUGAUAUCUUAAAGGAAAAGAAAAUCAAAUCUCAUUCCUUAAAGACUAAAUCCAACGGUUUAGGAAAGAUAUAGGUAGCCUAUUUGCUCUUUU